UGGGGAAUAUUGCACAAUGGGCGCAAGCCUGAUGCAGCCAUGCCGCGUGUGUGAAGAAGGCCUUCGGGUUGUAAAGCACUUUCAGCGAGGAGGAAGGUGGUGAGCUUAAUACGCUCAUCAAUUGACGUUACUCGCAGAAGAAGCACCGGCUAACUCCGUGCCAGCAGCCGCGGUAAUACGGAGGGUGCAAGCGUUAAUCGGAAUUACUGGGCGUAAAGCGCACGCAGGCGGUUUGUUAAGUCAGAUGUGAAAUCCCCGGGCUCAACCUGGGAACUGCAUUUGAAACUGGCAAGCUAGAGUCUCGUAGAGGGGGGUAGAAUUCCAGGUGUAGCGGUGAAAUGCGUAGAGAUCUGGAGGAAUACCGGUGGCGAAGGCGGCCCCCUGGACGAAGACUGACGCUCAGGUGCGAAAGCGUGGGGCAGCAAACAGGAUUAGAUACCCUGGUAGUCCAGCGCUGUAAACGAUGUCGAUUUGGAGGUUGUGCCCUUGAGGCGUGGCUUCCGGAGCUAACGCGUUAAAUCGACCGCCUGGGGAGUACGGCCGCAAGGUUAAAACUCAAAGGAAUUGACGGGGUCAUAGCUGUUUCCU
rnacentral:rRNA from 1 species